GGCUGCGCGUGCUAUACAUGCAAGUCGAACGAGAUCCCAGACUUCGGUCUGGGGGACAGUGGCGAACGGGUGAGUAACACGUGAGAAACCUGCCCCGGAGACCGGGACAACCGUUGGAAACGACGGCUAAUACCGGAUGCCUUCACAUGGUCGCAUGGCCGAGUGAAGAAAGGCUCCGGCGCUCCGGGAGGGUCUCGCGGCCUAUCAGCUAGUUGGUGGGGUAACGGCCUACCAAGGCAUCGACGGGUAGCUGGUCUGAGAGGACGAUCAGCCACACUGGGACUGAGACACGGCCCAGACUCCUACGGGAGGCAGCAGUAGGGAAUAUUGCGCAAUGGGGGAAACCCUGACGCAGCAACGCCGCGUGUGGGAUGAUGGCUUUCGGGUUGUAAACCACUUUCAGUGAUGACGAAAAUGACGGUAAUCACAGAAGAAGGUCCGGCCAACUACGUGCCAGCAGCCGCGGUAACACGUAGGGACCGAGCGUUGUCCGGAUUUAUUGGGCGUAAAGAGCUCGUAGGCGGUUUUGUAAGUCGGAUGUGAAAACUCAGGGCUCAACCCGGAGACGCCAUCCGAUACUGCAAUGACUAGAGUCCGGUAGAGGAAGAUGGAAUUCCUGGUGUAGCGGUGGAAUGCGCAGAUAUCAGGAGGAACACCAAUGGCGAAGGCAGUCUUCUGGGCCGGUACUGACGCUGAGGAGCGAAAGCAUGGGGAGCAAACAGGAUUAGAUACCCUGGUAGUCCAUGCCGUAAACGUUGGGCACUAGGUGUGGGGUCUUCUAACGGAUUCCGUGCCGUAGCUAACGCAUUAAGUGCCCCGCCUGGGGAGUACGGCCGCAAGGCUAAAACUC
rnacentral:rRNA from 1 species